AUUGACCGCUGGCGGCGUGCCUAACACAUGCAAGUCGAACGAGUGGCGGACGUGUGAGUAAUUUCUUGGAAACUGCCUGAUGGAGGGGGCUAACUACUGGAAACGGUAGCUAAUACCGCAUAUCAUCGGAUGUGUCCAGAGUGGAUUAGGUAGUAGGUUGGGUAAAGGCUCACCUAGGCGACGAUACCUAGCUAGUCUGAGAGGAUGACCGGCCACACUGGAACUGAGACACGGUCCAGACGCCUACGGGAGGCAGCAGUGGGGAAUAUUGCACAAUGGGCGCAAGCCUGAUGCAGCCACGCCGCGUGUAUGAAGAAGGCCUUCGGGUUGUAAAGUACUUUCAGCGGGGAGGCGUUACUCGAAGAGGAAGCACCGGCUAACUCCGUGCCAGCAGCCGCGGUAAUAC
rnacentral:rRNA from 1 species